CGGCCUAGCCUGGCCUAGCAGCCCGCAGCCGGGCCCCGCCACGCUCCAGGCGCAGGCCGCAAGGGGCGGGCCUGGCUCGGCUCCGCUCUCCCGGGCGCAGGCGCCGGCGUGAGGCCGAGGCUGUGCCGGCCGGGCACGGCGGCUCCAUGCGCUGCCAGGUGACGGUGCUGUACUUUGCCAGGAGCGCUGAGCUGGCGGGGCUGCGCUCCGAGAGCGUUUCCGUGCCGCAGCGGCUCACCUCCCUGCAGCUCUGGGAAGAAAUUGUUAAGAUCCAUCCAAGGCUUGCUGUCAUCCGGGAUCAAGUGAUUUUUGCUGUUCAGCAGGAGUACGUGCUUCUUGGAGAUCAGCUCCUGGUCCUGCAGACAGGAGACGAGGUUGCCAUCAUCCCACCAAUUAGUGGAGGCUGAAUUUAUGCAACUUCUGUUAGGUCCAGAGAUGUGAUGUGCAGUUCUCCCAAAAAAGCAUAACUUGUAUUUCCUGCUGGAGAGAAUCAGUGUGCUUACCAGAAACUAUAAGGGAAGGAGCCUAUAUGCAUUAGAAAGAGGUCGAUCCAUGAUAUUUCCACUUGAU